CAUGACUCUGUACCAUGAGCUUCUUAUCACAGCAUCAUGUUUCUUACCAAAACCUAAGCAAGCUGCUUUGAAAUUUCAAAUGAUCUGGAUUGCUUUACUGUUGAUGAACAUUUAUUAAAUGGGUCUAUCAUUGCUGAAUCAUUUCCUAAUCAUUUUAAAGACCUGUCCUGGAUAGAACCAUGUCAUUUGGUACUAAUGAUAUGGAAACCAUGAAUUUAAAAAAAACAACCAAUUUUCUAUUAAGUAUUAAGUAUUACUACUUUAGUAUUAGAAACUUUAUUCUCCAUUUGUUUAAUCAUAUGCUUGCCUGUUGACAGAUUUCACAUUUAUGCAUGCUCAGAUGACUAAAAAGCUAUUGAGGUUACACUAAAAUUGUUAUUUGGUAGAUAUCUAGUUAACUUUUUUCAAACAGUGUCUAAUAUUUGACACAUAAUUAGAACCAAAUUGCAUACUUUUUAGGUAAAAAGCACAUUUUAUUUUUCCAUUUCAUUGGAAGUUUAAUCUCUGUUGGUGUUUGUGUGAUAUGUGGGUCAUUCAACCCAAAGGAGUUUUAUUUGCUAAUUUGAAAUGAAUUAAAAAGAUUAUCUUUGAAUUUAAAGUACAACAGUUGUCUUCAGAUUUAGGUAUUUACUGUUUAAUGAAUGGCUGCUUGCCUUAUGUCCACAGUGAAUGCAUCUUGUUUUCAACUCUGGACUGCUGAAUCUCCUGUCUGUACAACACCUUUACCCUUGGGUCUGCUAUCAUGGCCUUCGCUGCGGUCGGAGCUGUUGGUUCGGUUGCUCCGCUGAUUCCAACACAUCGCCAGUGCAAAGUUGAGAUUACGAAUGGAUGCAGUACCUACACUCUGUCUAACGUCAGUGUCCACGCUACAAGUGGAAGUUGAUGUUUGCCACCGACUAUUGCCUCUGGCGCAUCUGGGAAUGGAUUGUUCACCAAGACGGAAGGAGCAGCUCGAGGAGCUGUUGGCGUCUUCACUUUUGAUCUCCUCAACACACGCACAAAGAACAUCAGUGAGAAAAUAGCUGUCAUGUACUCUGUGCCCUAUGAUUUCAACCUGUACUCCAACUGGUACGCACUGGGAAUAUUUCCCAACUACAAAAAGUGUGAUUAUGAUCUUUAUUGUAAGAUGUAUUAUGAGAAUGACAAAACCUUUGUCAGAGGUAAAGCAAAUGGCCCCAGUCUAAUUUAUAAGGGUCAUCACGUAACCAUCAGGGCAACAAUGUCAGACUCCUUCCAACCCAUCAUGAUGGUGCAAGUGAGCGAAAACUGAAAAGAGUUAAUAAUGGCUCAUCAGGGCUGGAAGUAAAGUUUACUCUCAAAGUAAAAAACAAAACAAAAGUCAUGAUAAACCAUAUUCAAUAGUACAUCUUAACUGAUCUACUUUUAAGUACAUUUUGGAAAAACUAAUUAAGAGUGUGUUUUCUUGAGUGAAAUAUUUUUUCCAUUGUGGUGUCUAAAGGGGUUAUAAAUUCAAAUUAUAUUUUGUCAACAUAUGUAGUGUCAGUAGUUCUUCUUCUUGAAGAACAACCACCUAUAAAAACCUAUGUCUGAAGCAUAUCGACAGAGCUGUUCAUUUGGCAGGAUGCAAUCCAAGCUCCUGGGGCUUGAAAUGAUGCUGGACUUUUUUGUAAUAAACCUUUAUAUACAAUCAA